UACAGAGGGGGCAAGCGUUGUUCGGAGUUACUGGGCGUAAAGGGCGCGUAGGCGGCCUUCUAAGUCGAACGUGAAAUCCCCGGGCUCAACCCGGGAACUGCGUCCGAGACUGGAAGGCUUGAAUCCGGGAGAGGGAUGUGGAAUUCCAGGUGUAGCGGUGAAAUGCGUAGAUAUCUGGAGGAACAUCGGUGGCGAAGGCGGCAUCCUGGACCGGUAUUGACGCUGAGGCGCGAAAGCCAGGGGAGCAAACGGG
rnacentral:rRNA from 1 species